CUGUUCUGUCGGCAGCUAGACAUGCAAGUCGAGCGGAUGAAGGGAGCUUGCUCCUGGAUUCAGCGGCGGACGGGUGAGUAAUGCCUAGGAAUCUGCCUGGUAGUGGGGGAUAACGUCCGGAAACGGGCGCUAAUACCGCAUACGUCCUGAGGGAGAAAGUGGGGGAUCUUCGGACCUCACGCUAUCAGAUGAGCCUAGGUCGGAUUAGCUAGUUGGUGGGGUAAAGGCCUACCAAGGCGACGAUCCGUAACUGGUCUGAGAGGAUGAUCAGUCACACUGGAACUGAGACACGGUCCAGACUCCUACGGGAGGCAGCAGUGGGGAAUAUUGGACAAUGGGCGAAGCCUUGAUCCAGCCAUGCCGCGUGUGUGAAGAAGUCUUCGGAUUGUAAACACUUUAAGUUGGGAGAAGGCAGAAGUUAAUACCUUGGUUGUUUUGACGUACCACAGAAUAAGCACCGGCUACUUCUGCCGCAGCCGCGUAUACCAAGGUGCAGCGUAAUUCGAAUUACUGGCGUAAGCGCGCGAAGGGUUCACAGGUGGAAGGGAAUCCCCGGCUC
rnacentral:rRNA from 1 species